rfam:Rattus norvegicus chromosome 17, whole genome shotgun sequence.
CCAAAGGCUCUUUUCAGAGCCACCUAUACGUACACAAAAGAGUUAU